CACGAUGAUACUUUAUCAAUUUCAGCUUGGACCAUUCCACUUAGCAAGGUGUUCAUGGCUCUUGAGUUGUAGGAAAACAUAUAGCUUUCGUUUGCAUCCAUCUCCAUGAGAGCAUUUGGUUUGCCAUCAUCAUGUCUAGGAAUGAUAGGUCCAUUUUCAACAACCCACCAUUCCCAUUGGUCUCUUUUAAGAAAAAUCUUAAUUCUGAACUUCCAAAAGUUAAAGUUCACUUCCGAACAGCAGUGGCCUACUUGUGGACUGGCCUUCUUGAAAGUUUAGGUGUGCCAUAGGAUCUUUCCCAACGACCUGCAAUGAUCAAUAUUAGUAGAGCCUUGCUUUGAUACCAAAUGUAAUUCUACGUAUGUGCACACCUAGAGGGGGGGUGAAUAGAUGUUUAUACUUAAAGUGAUAAACAGUGAAAUCUUUUUGAAAUUUUCCACUACAGGUAUAAUUUAGACAGCUACACCUGUCUGCUUUAACUUAAGUUCUUCGUUUAAUAUUAUCAGACAACUAGACAUGUCUGUUUUAGUGUCUGGAUUCUUGUAACUACAAACUAAUAAAGCAGAAUACCUAGAAAUUAUACAAACAGAGAGGUAAAGCGCAGAAACGUAAAGGCAUCGAGAUUUUUACGUGGUUCGGCCCCUAUCCUCUAUCUAGUAGCCUAAUCCACGUCCAAUCUCAACUAGGAUUGGAGACUCUUUUUAUUAAACUUAAUAUUCAAUUAAAUACAAUAAAAAGAACUCCCUGUUACAAAGAAGCUUUCAACUGAUGGACACCUCUGCACCCUAUGCACCUCUGCAACCUUUCUCACCACUGAGACCUUUGCACCUCUGCAACCUUGAAAGCUCUCUUUGAACAGAUCCUAUCUACUGCUAGAUAGACCAAGCCAAACAAGACUUGAAUUUUGAAUAUAAUAAAAGAAAUUACAAUAGACUUCUUAUUUUCCAGCCACAAAGAAUUAUAGACAGUACAAUGAAUAGAUGAAAAUAAACAAUGAAAGCUCUCAAUAAGAUUCUUCUCUGUAUAGCAACGUGAAUUAACUUCUUGUAUCCUCCUGUACUUAGCCGUGAAAAUAACACUAUAUAUAAAAAGAGACCCAACGGCUAUAAAAUAAUUGUUAGCAAUAAAUUAGAUGAUUUAAAUCUCAUAGCAAGAAAUCAGAUGAUAUAAAUCCCAUAAUAUUAGCUAUUAAUAUUGACCAACAGUUAUGAACAUAAGAUAGAAUAGGAAACUCAUAUCAAAGUUGGUAUACCCCAUGAUAUUAGCAAUUAAAGAGUCCAACAGAUUUGGUAAAUCAAGGAUAUGUUUUCAAGUCAAACCAAAACACCUUAAAUACAGGAACAAGGAGAUAUUUGAUAAAGUUUGUUACUAGCCAGUCACUAGAUAACAGGUGCCUUAUUUAGUUUCCUUUUCAAAUUGAAUUGCAUAUCAUUACUAAAUUAUAUUAAAGAUCUUUUCAACAACAUGCAACAUGCAAACUUAUAUAUAGAAGGAAUAUUUUAAUGGACCAUAAUUCCAAUCUUGGGCCACAAAAAAUCAACAUAUAAUAAAUUUAAAUCACCCCAAACAAUUUAAAUCAAAUUCAUAAACCCAAUAAUAUUGUCAUCAUUAAAAUCAUAUAAUAUAUAACCAACAUUAUCUCCCUUUUUGAUGAUGACAAUACAUAAUGCCAUUUAAUUAAUAUGUUCCCCCUAAGUAUAUGGCUCCACCUUAAUUUAUGCAUAUUAAGGAAACAAAUUCUAAAUUACCAUCAUUUGCAUAUUCAAGCACAAUAUAGUAUCUCAGUACCAUAUAUAUAUCUCCCCCUUUGUCAUCAACAAAAAGAAACCACAUUAAUCAUUAAGCACAAGUAUCUCUCCCCCUUUGUCAACAUUAAAAUAAUAAGUGCGAAGAUAAAAAAUAUCAUUGGAGCAAGUUUAUAACAAAACCACAUAUAGAAAGUAAACAAUAUAAUCAUACCUUUCCAUUGUGUUACCUAUAUAUCAACAUUUUGUUACCAGUAGAUAGCUUGAUAGUUGUGCUCUUUAAUGUAGAUUUGGAUUUUGUAUUUUCAGAAUCAAAAAACUCUUCAAUAGCACUUCUUUUGAUCAUCCCAAUGUUGAGAUCUUUAAAGCUCAGGUUAAAGGAUAAUUUUUCACUAUUAUGGUUGUUCUUGGAAGACUGCCAUUGGUCAUUUGUUCAUCUGAUUAACUUUCUGGAAUAUCAAAUUUUGCAUCAGAAUAUUCUUCUGAUUUGCCUUCAAAAAUAGACGGGCCGAGCUGUCUGGAUUUAGGUGUCUGCAUGUUUUCCUGGUUCAUCUAUUUUUUCUUCUGAUGCAAACGGCUUAGGCUGUCUGGAUUGAGCUGUUUUCAUUUCCACGUUCCACAUUACUUUUUCUUGCAAAAACCUCAUUCUCUUCUUUAAACAGAUCAGGGUCAAAAUUAUCAAAUAAAAUAUGAACAUAUUGCUCAACCUUUUAUCAAGAUUAUCAUGUAUAUUAAAUAUGGAGCAUUUGACAUAAUAAAUGAUGUUAUGAACCCUUAUAAUACGAAAGCCAGAGUUUUUAUAAUAAUAUAUCUAAUUAAAACUCUAUUUAAAAAACAACAUGAGGUACUUACAAAUUCCGCCAAAUAAUUUAUAGGUAACUUACUCUCUCAAAGUAAAGAAUCAUCCAUCUCCUUUUUGAUCUUGAGACACCUACAAACAAAUAGUCUCUAUCUUUUUGGUACCUAAAUCUUCUUGGGUCCUUUUGGGUUAGUAGCAUAUAAAUCACGUUUCUUUACCCAAAUUUGUUUUAUUCUAAUUUUAUUACAAUUAGAAUCAAAAUGUCCUUUAAAACCACAUUUUUUACAAGCAACAAAUGGUGAACAAUAAAGUAGUUUAUGCCUUGAUUUACUAUUAAUCAUUCUAAUAUUAUUAUUAGUCCUAUUUUCCACAUUUUGAAUAGGAUUAUACCCAAUCCCUUAUUUAUCAAGGCUGGACCUUUGUGCCCCUAACAUAACAUUUAGGUUCUCUUCUCCUUGCACAAAUUUAGCAAGAUCAUUUUUUAAAGAUGUUAUUUCUGCAUUUAUUACAUUAUCAUCAUGUUGAACAUUCAUCAUUUUUCCAUCAUUAAAAGCAUCUAUACAUACAUCUCUCAUUUUCAAAUUUUCUUUUUACACUUCAUUUUCAUUUUUAAGAUAUUCAUUUUCUUCUCUCUCUUUAAUAAGCGACUUAACUUCAUUCAUUAGAUCGUUUACACAAUUCUUAAAAUAGGCAAUUUUCUUUUUGAGCUGUUGAUUUUCAUUUUGUAAAGCAAUAUAAUCAGGCAUAGAUAUUUCAAAAGCUUCAUGAAAAUUUGUUACCUCAAGUUGAUUAUCAUCUUCUACUCCCAUGAAACAGAGUUGGACAGUUUCUUCUUGUUCCGCUUUGGACUUACUCACUGGAGUUGAGCUACCUUUUUGAUUUUUCCUUUAUUUCUUUCUUUUAAGUAGUCUCUCGGGUUUUCUUGACAGCAUUUCAAUUUCCUCAUCAAAAUCUUCGUGAUCACUUUCAUUGUUGCUCUCGAUUUGAAGUGCCAAUGUUUUCUUUAUUGAUGCUUCAUCCUCUUCAUCAUAUCUCCUGAGUUGAUUUUCAAAUUCUUCAAGCUCUCCAAACAAGGUAAGAGUUUCUAUGGUACUCAUUGUUGGUGAGUCUUGGAGAGUUGGGACUUUCGGAGCAAACUAUUUUGGCAUUACUCUUAGCAGCUUUCUAUUAAUUUCCCUCUGAUCAAUUUUUUGUCCCAGCAUACUUAGAGAGUUCAUUAAAGUAAGAAAUCUCCCUUGAGCUUCAAUAAUUGUUUCAUCUUUUUCUAAUUUGAAGAGUUCAUAUUCUUGCAUCAACAUACUUAGCUUGACUUCCUUCACCUAGUAGUUCCCUCGUGGCUCAUGAAGAUUGUAUCCCACAUUUCUUUUGUUGUAUUGCACGAUGAUACUUUAUCAAUUUCAGCUUGGACCAUUCCACUUAGCAAGGUGUUCAUGGCUCUUGAGUUGUAGGAAAACAUAUAGCUUUCGUUUGCAUCCAUCUCCAUGAGAGCAUUUGGUUUGCCAUCAUCAUGUCUAGGAAUGAUAGGUCCAUUUUCAACAACCCACCAUUCCCAUUGGUCUCUUUUAAGAAAAAUCUUAAUUCUGAACUUCCAAAAGUUAAAGUUCACUUCCGAACAGCAGUGGCCUACUUGUGGACUGGCCUUCUUGAAAGUUUAGGUGUGCCAUAGGAUCUUUCCCAACGACCUGCAAUGAUCAAUAUUAGUAGAGCCUUGCUUUGAUACCAAAUGUAAUUCUACGUAUGUGCACACCUAGAGGGGGGGUGAAUAGAUGUUUUUGCUUAAAGUGAUAAACAGUGAAAUCUUUUUGAAAUUUUCUGCUACAGGUUUAAUUCAGACAGCUACACCUGUCUACUUUAGUGUCUACUUUAACUUAUGUUCUUCGUUUAAUAUUAUCAGACAGCUAGACGUGUCUAUUUUAGUGUCUGGAUUCGUGUAACUACAAACUAAUAAAGCAAAAUACCCAUAAAUUAUACAAACAGAAAGGUAAAGUACAAAAACGUAAAGGCACCGAGAUUUUUACGUGGUUCGGCCCCUAUCCUCUAUCUAGUGGCCUAAUCCACGUCCAAUCCCAACUAGGAUUGGAGACUUUUUUUAUUAAACUUAAUAUUCAAUUAAAUACAAUAAAAAAAACUCCCUGUUACAAAGAAUCUUUCCACUGAUGGACACCUCUGCCCCCUAUGCACCUCUGCAACCUUUCUCACCACUGAGACCUUUGCACCUCUGCAACCUUGAAAGCUCUCUUUGAACAGAUCCUAUCUACUGCUAGAUAGACCAAGCCAAACAAGACUUGAACUUUGAAUAUAAUAAAAGAAAUUACAAUAGACUUCUUAUUUUCCAGCCACAAAGAAUUAUAGACAGUACAAUGAAUAGCUGGAAAUAAACAAUGAAAGCUCUCAAUAGGAUUCUUCUAUGUAUAGCAACGUGAAUUAGCUUCUUGUAUCCUCCUGUACUUAGCCGUGAAAAUAACACUAUAUAUAAAGAGAGAACCAACGGCUAUAAAAUAAUUGUUAGCAAUAAAUUAGAUGAUUUAAAUCCCAUAGCAAGAAAUCAGAUGAUUUAAACCCAUAAUAUUAGCUACUAAUAUUGACCAACAGUUAUGAACAUAAGAUAGAAUAGGAAACUCAUAUCAAAGUUUGUAUACCCCAUGAUAUUAGCAAUUAAAGAGUCCAACAGAUUUGGUAAAUUAAGGAUAUGUUUUCAAGUCAAAUCAAAACACCUUAAAUAAAGGAACAAGGAGAUAUUUGAUAAAGUUUGUUACUAGCCAAUCACUAGAUAGCAGGUACCUUAUUUAGUUUCCUUUUCAAAUUGAAUUGCAUAUCAUUACUAAAUUAUAUUAAAGAUCUUUUCAACAACAUGCAACAUGCAACAUGCAAACUUAAAUAUAAAAGGAAUAUACUAAUGGACCAUAAUUCCAAUCUUGGGCCACAAAAAAUCAACAUAUAAUAAAUUUAAAUCAGCCCAAACAAUUUAAAUCAAAUUCAUAAACCCAACAAUAUUGUUAUCAUUAAAAUCAUAAAAUAUAUAACCAACAAUAUAAACAUAUAUGAUCAAUUAUAAACAAUUAAUAAG
rnacentral:lncRNA from 1 species